GAGGCUUCUGUAUAAAACCCAAUCCAGACCCUUGAUCAAUUUUUGAGUUGGUACUCUGCUUUCUAUCCGACAUGAUAAGAGGAAUUAUCCUAGUUUUGUUCUUUGUAUGCAUCUGCAUUGGAUUUUCCUUUGCUCAGUUUGGAUGGAACCGUGACAUAGAUUGGAACAAUGGCUGGAACCGUGACCGAGAUUUUAACAAUGGCUGGGACAGAGACUUUAACAAUGGCUGGAACCCAUGGUGGUCCGAUUGAUGCUCACUAUCCCACAUCCAACACUUGUUAGACUGAAACAUGGCAUGAAAGACUAGCAAAACUGUGGGAUUGUAUAGAUUUGUUCCUCCUUUUGUAUGCUGUUUAACAAAUAUAUAAAAAUUACAAAUAUAAUUGUACUUCCUGUAAAUGUGUAUUUUAUCACAAACAAUAUUUCGCUAUACAUGUAUAUUAUUAUAGCUUACCUUUGUAAAAUUUGUCAUACUUUUAUUUUCUACAGUAAACACUUUAAAAUACUGUUAUCUAUUGUAAAACAUAUAAAAACAGUAAUGUUUUUAUUUCCUGUUUAAAAACAAUCCAUGUACACGAGAUAAAAAAAUUGAAAAACGGUUGGUAAUAUUUUUCAUUAUCUUUUCCAUUAGUAGUAGAAAAAAAACCCCGAUUAAAACGAUUGAUUUACUAUCAAAAAACUUUUGAAUAUUUUCAUUGACUAUAUUAAAAAUCUGGAUAUUAUGACUUAUUGUUGUUAAAACUUGGAUAUUAUGAUUAACUUGGAUAUUAGGAUAACUAUUGUUAAAACGUAAAUCAUGUUAAAACUUGGGUAUUAAACUUGCUUAUCAUGAUUGAUCAUUGUUAUAACUAGGUUAUUAUGAUUGACUAAUAUUACGAUUCCACCAUCGUUCAAACUUUCAUCUUUUUAUGAUUAACUAUUGUCAAAAACUUGGAUAUUUUGAUAUUUGUUUAACUAUUGUUAAAACUUGGAUAAUUUGAUUACCUAUUGUAAAAACUUGGAUAUCUAAUUACAUGUAACUAUGAAUAGUAAUGUAAAACCCUUGCUACUAUAGUUAAUUAUUAUAGAAAUGUAAUGUUUGAUUCAUUUGAAUAAACAUUUUAAUAUUAUC